rnacentral:rRNA from 1 species
AUUAAAAUUAAUCUUAUAAUAUUAAUUAAUAAAAAUUUAAAUUUAUUAAAAAAUAAAAAUUUAAUAUUUAAAAAAAAAAAAAAUAAAUUAAAUAUUUUUACCUUUUGUAUCAGGAUUAAUUAAAAAUAAUUAAAAAUUUAUAUUUCUCGAAAAUAAAACAUUUAAUUUUAUAAUAAUAUUAAUAUAAAAAAAUUAUUUAUAAUAUAAAAUUAAAAAUAAAAAAUUAUUUAUUUUUUUUGAUAUCUAGUUAUUUAAUAAAUGAAUAAAAUUCUUUUAUAAAAAUUUUAAUAAAUAAAUUAUUUAUUUUUUAAAAAAAUAUAAAAAUAAUUUUAGGGUUAAACUUAAAAUUAAUAAUAAAAUUUAAAAAUUUUAUAAUAAAAAUAAUUUAUUAAAUAUUUAUUUUUAAAAAUAAUUUAAUAAUUUAUAUAUAUAAAAAAUUUAAAAUAAAUUAUUUAUUAAAUUAUUAAAUAAUUUUUAUAAACAAUUUAUAAAAAAAUAUAAUGAUUAAAUUAGUAAAAAUAAAUAAAAUAAUAUUUUUUUUAAAAAAAAAUAAAAUAUAUAAAUUAGGCAAAAAAAAUUUUCACCUGUUUAACAAAAACAUGUCUAUUUGAAAAUUAAUUUAUAGUCAAAUCUGCUCAAUGAAUAUUAAAUAGCUGCAGUAUAAAUAACUGUACUAAGGUAGCAUAAUAAAUUGUUUCUUAAUUAGAAACUUGAAUGAAAGAUUUAAUGAAAAAUUAACUUUAUUUAUUUUAAAUUUUAAAUUUUUAUUUAAAUAAAAAAAUUUAAAUUAAUUAAAUAAACAAAAAGACCCUAAAAACUUUAUAAAUUUUUAAAAAAAUUUAUUUAAUUGGGGAAAUUAAAAAAAUUAAAUAAUUUUUUUAUUGAUAAACAAUAAUUAUUGAAUAAAAUAAUUUUCUUAAAAUAAUUAAUUAAGUUACUUUAGGGAUAACAGUAUAAUUUUUUUUUUUAGACCAAAUAAAUAAAAAAGUUUAUAACCUCGAUGUUGAAUUAAGAUAAAAUUUAAACGAAAAAUUUUUAAUUUUAAGUCUGUUCGACUUUUAAAAUCUUACAUGAUUUGAGUUAAGAUCGACGUAAGUCAGAUCAGUUUCUAUUUUUUAAUAAAAUUUAUAUAAUUGUACGAAAGGAAUUUAUAUAAAAAAUAAUUUUUAAU